rnacentral:rRNA from 1 species
UAGAUACCCUGGUAGUCCAUGCCGUAAACGAUGUCUACUAGCCGUUGGGGCCCUUGAGGCUUUAGUGGCGCAGCUAACGCGAUAAGUAGACCGCCUGGGGAGUACGGUCGCAAGACUAAAACUCAAAUGAAUUGACGGGGGCCCGCACAAGCGGUGGAGCAUGUGGUUUAAUUCGAUGCAACGCGAAGAACCUUACCUGGCCUUGACAUACAGAGAACUUUCCAGAGAUGGAUUGGUGCCUUCGGGAACUCUGAUACAGGUGCUGCAUGGCUGUCGUCAGCUCGUGUCGUGAGAUGUUGGGUUAAGUCCCGCAACGAGCGCAACCCUUUUCCUAUUUGCCAGCACUUCGGGUGGGAACUUUAAGGAUACUGCCAGUGACAAACUGGAGGAAGGCGGGGACGACGUCAAGUCAUCAUGGUCCUUACGGCCAGGGCUACACACGUGCUACAAUGGUCGGUACAAAGGGUUGCUACUGCGCGAGCAGAUGCUAAUCUCAAAAACGCCGAUCGUAGUCCGGAUCGC